CCCUUAGAUGUCCUGGGCCGCACGCGUGCUACACUGACGCCUACAGCGAGUACUUCCCAGCCCCGAGAGGUGGCUGGUAAUCAGCAAUAGGCGUCGUGAUGGGGAUAGAUCUUUGGAAUUAUGGAUCUUGAACGAGGAAUGCCUAGUAAGCGCAGGUCAUUAGCCUGCGCUGAUUAAGUCCCUGCCCUUUGUACACACCGCCCGUCGCUCCUACCGAUUUCGAGUGGUCCGUUGAAUCUUUCGGACUGCGCGCGGCCUCGUGCCGUGUCGCGGAAAGUCAGGUAAACCUUAUCACUUAGAGGAAGGAGAAGUCGUAACA
rnacentral:rRNA from 1 species